rnacentral:rRNA from 1 species
UACGUAGGAAGCAAGCGUUGCCCGGAAUUACUGGGCGUAAAGAGCUCGUAGGCGGUUUGUCGCGUCUGCUGUGAAAACCUAAGGCUCAACCUUGGGCUUGCAGUGGGUACGGGCAGACUAGAGUGCGGUAGGGGUGACUGGAAUUCCUGGUGUAGCGGUGGAAUGCGCAGAUAUCAGGAGGGAACACCGAUGGCGAAAGGGCAGGU